rnacentral:tRNA from 1 species
GGCUCAUUGGUCUAGUCUAGUCGUAUGAUUCUCGCUUAGGGUGCGAGAGGUCCCGGGUUCGAUUCCCGGAUGAGCCC